UUUCUUGUAAUAAGCAUAACAGCCUCUGAGGCUAUCUUAACACAGACUAGGUUUGGAGUGAUUGAUGGGUCUUUGCUGGGAUCUGGGCCUGUGGUUCUGAGAAGAAACUCGAGCUGUCAGGGCAUCUGCAGGACUGCAUAUUGACAAGGGCCAAGAACUCCAAACAAACUAAGUGCCCAAUAACAGUUGAGUGGAUAAAGAAGAUGUGGUCUCUAUACUCAGUGGAAUACCACUCAGGGACAUCCUAGACCCCCUGCAUGGAUGCCUGAUCUGUGACAAGUACCAAG